CUACGAAGGGGGCUAGCGUUGUUCGGAUUUACUGGGCGUAAAGCGCACGUAGGCGGAUUGAUUAGUUAGGGGUGAAAUCCCGAGGCUCAACCUCGGAACUGCCUCUAAAACUGUCAAUCUCGAGACCGGAAGAGGUGAGUGGAACUCCUAGUGUAGAGGUGGAAUUCGUAGAUAUUAGGAAGAACACCAGUGGCGAAGGCGGCUCACUGGUCCGGUACUGACGCUGAGGUGCGAAAGCGUGGGGAGCAAACAGGAUUAGAUACCCUAGUAGUCC
rnacentral:rRNA from 1 species